GUCACGAAUGUGUUAACCCUUUCGUAUGUCGUACAGUACGUUAGUGAUCAUGAAUUAAAUUAGGUUAUCAAUUAUUCAUUGUAGUUAAUUGUCAUUGACAAUUAACAAAAUUCAUGUAUGAAUUUUGUUCUCGUUUGUACGAGUGUUUUGCAUACGUGGCAGAGGUUGCCACCAAUCAGAAAACGGGAGUUUUGAUAGGCGUGGCUUCGAACACGUACACUUGUCUAUGCCUUCGGCAGCCAUAAUCUUGAGAAGUCGUGUGUGAAUUCUUGUCGUGAUUCUCUGUAGACAAACAGAGUUCGUUGUUCAUUUUACAUUCCUCAGUAGGAGCGAUUUACUGAAUUUUCGGUGAGCAGUGUAAGUUUAGUAGAAAUAUAUAAAAUGGAUGUCCAAACAGGAUUGGUAUAUGUAGCAGUAGUAGUUAUUUCUGCAGCAGUUAUUGUUUUAGUAUCAAUGUUUGGCAUAAAAGAAAAAUCUUAUGAAGAAGCAAUAGCAGAGCAAAGAAAACUUCCUGAUGAUCUUUUGUCAAAUAAAAAAGAUAAAAGUAAAGAAAAGAAACAUAAAAAUAAGGCAGGGAAAAAAGUAAAAGAGAAGAAAGAAGAAAAGGAGGAAAAGGAAGAUAAAGAAGAAAAACCAGAGCAUGUACAAUUUGAGGAAAAUCCACAAAUUUUACCACUAGAGCCAUUACUUCGUGAGGGUAGCAAAGGAAGUAAGAAGAAAAGCAAGCAUGAAAAGGUAAAGCCAAUUCUUGUAAAUAAAGAUGAGCCAUUGGUUAUUGUGACUGAAUUAAGUCCUUCACAAUCCCUCUCAACAGAGGUUAAUCAUUUUGACCUCAUUCAACCAAAGGACGACCUCGAACUCAUACGGAGUCAUAGUAAAGAAAAUUUGCAACAAAUUGGUCAGUCUGAAUCAACUAUAAAUAAAUCUCCAAAGGAAACUCCAACAAAAGUAAAGAAGAAUGUGAAAGAUUCAGUGAAAAAGAAGGAUGACAAUAUUAAGGAAGAGAAAAAAGAAACAAUUAAUAAUACCAAUAUACCACCAGUAGCUAAUAAAGAUUCUGCAAAAGAAAUUAAAGAACAAAAAGAAACUUCAGUCAGAGAUGUAAAAGAAGUUAUAAAAGAAACUGUAAUUUCUACUCAAUCAACAAAUAAAGAAUCUAAAAAAGCAAAGAAAAAGAAUGAUAUUCUAGCACAAAUUGGUGGAGAUAAGGAUGCUGUCAAUGUAUCUUUAUUAAUGCCUUUAGUUCAGAAAGCUGAACUUAGCCGUUCUGAAAUACAAAUUCUUAUUGACCAACUUUUAAAUAAACAAAUGGAUAAUCCAUCAGAACACUCAGAAUGGACAGAAGGUCGCGCAGAUCCAGUUAUUAAAUUAAAAAAACAACUUGCAGAGAAGGAAAAAGCUUUAGCCGAUGAACAUGAAGCAAAUAUUGCAUUUCAAAAUAAAUUGAAAGAGUUACGUGCUGAGUUGAAUUCUGAAAGGUCUAGAUUAUCAGCUAAUGUAAGACAAUUAGAAGAAGCAUUAAAUGCUAAAGUUACAGAAACUCAAACUCUACAUACACGAAUGCAACAUAUCUUGGAAAGUCACGCUGCUGAAAAACAAGGAUUUACUAGACAAAUUGAACAAUUGCAAACUAAAGUAAAUGAAAAUGCUGCAAUUAUUCAUAAGAUGCAAGAGGAUCAAGGACAAACUCAAGGUCAUAUGCAACAAGAGUUGAUUGCACAACGUAAACAAAUGGAAGUACAAUUUGCACAAAUGCGUGAUAAUGAAAAUGCAUUAAAAGCACAAUUAGCUCAAAAACAUGUAGAAGUACAAGAAUUACAAAGUGAGUUACAAGCAACUUGUGAGAGUAGCACUGCUGAAAUAGAAAUGUUACGGCAACAAUUAGGACUUAUGCAAGGUCAAUUGAUGCAUUCAGAAGGACAAUUACAACAUUUCAAAGAAGCUGGAGACAGACUGCAAGAUGUUGCUAGGCAGCUUGAGGAUUCCCAUCGUGCACAUGCUGAUUUAGAUCACAGACUAAAAAGCGCUCAUCGUCAUGAACAGGAACUUCAGAAACAAGUGAAUUCAUUGCAAAGUGAAUUAAAUUCUGUAAAAACAGAAGCUAAUGAUGCUUCAGCAUUAAAAACAGAAUUGAAUAAAGCUCAGUCUGAAUUAGUGAAAUUAAAAUCUGAGCUGUCAGUAUCAAUGAAUGAAGUGAAAUAUGAGGCAGCUGAAAUUACAGCUCUUAAAGUGACACUUGUUGACAGAGAGGAGGAACUGAAAGUAUUUCAAGAAAAGCUUAUUAACAAAGACAAGGAUCUAGAAACAUGUAAAGAAGAACUUAACAAUGUACGAACUGAAUUAAAGCAGUCAACAGAAAAUAUAACACAGUUGGAAACACAGUUAGAGGCAGUACAGAAGAACUUAGAUACUGUACAAGAUGAACUUAACAAGACGACAAAAAGUCUAGAAGUAGCACAAGGAGACGUUGAUACUAAUCAAUCGAACAUGGAGAAGUUAGAGGAACAGUUAAAGCAGUCUCAAAAUGAAUUAGAAGAAGCACGUGCCGAACUUAAAGCUGUAAAUGAAACAACGAACGAAAUGAACAUGUUAAAGGCAGAGAUAAAUAGGUUACAGAAACGUGAUCAGCGAUCAAGUGAAACUCAGUUACAGAUUACACGACUGCAAGAAGAAAAUGAUAAACUUUCUAUACAGCUCACAAAUCUCGCAGAUUUGCAAAAGCAACUUAAGCAAUUACAAGAAGAAAAUGAAUCACUGGCUUCUCAAUUAGCAGCAACUACUGAACGUCCAGCUGCAGAAGGCCGUGAAAAUGGAAUUGAUGAUAAUGUUCAAAAGAAUGUACAACUUGUAGAACAAACCAAUUUGUUGGCCCAAAAGGAGAGCCAAUUAAAUGCUUUAAGAACUGAAUUAACACAUAAAGAAGUGGAACUGAAUCAAUUAAAUACUCAGAUUGAUGCAUUACGAAGUGAUGUAAACAAUCAACGUAGUCUUGCUGCCCGUUUAAAUAAUGAAUUGGAAGCACAAAGGUCCAAAAAUAAUGAAUUACGUGUAAAAAACUGGAAAGUGAUGGAAGCUCUUUCCGCCGCCGAAUUGCGUACUAAAUCUAAUAAUGGGAAAAACUUUGAUGAAAUUACACAAAAAGUAAAAGCAGAAGAAGAAAAGUUAACAAAGGCUUUAUUAGAAAGGAUAUUCCCAGAAAUAAAAGUAUCUGAAAAAUCACACGAGCUGUGGCUCAAAGUUUUUGAAGAAAAGGUGAAUACAGUUUUUACUGAAUUGAAGAAAAAGAAUACUACUGAUAAUCACUCAGAAUUAGAAAAACAAAAUAAAAAUUUACAAGAUAUGGUUUCGCAUUAUAAACAAAUUAUUGAUGAUACAGAAGGUAUGCUUAAUAAGCUGCAAAGUCAUGUAGAAUCAGAGGAAACAAGGUGGGAGUCACAGCUUCGACAGAAAGAAAGUGAGGUAGCAGGUCUUAGAAUUGAAUUGAACGAACUCAUGAGUAAAUUAAAUAUAAAUGAAAAGUUACAAGAUAAGGUAGUAGAAUUGGAAACCAGACUGAAAGAAGCUGAAUCUUUUAAAGAACAAGCUAAUGCUGAAUUAUUGACACAUAGAUCCACACCAAAGUUGGUUUUGAGUGAAGUAGAUACUCAUGAUUUAGGUACAUUAGAAAAGCUUCAAGAGGAAAAGGCACGACUGUCAGAAGAACUUCAAAUAGAAUGUAACAAAAGAGCAGCAGUAGAUGCAGAAUUGGAUAAAUUACGAUGUGUAGUUACACAACUUCAUCAAAAAAUGUCACAACUUAAGAGUGAAGUUUAUGGAGGUUGUAGCAGUUCAGAACAGCCAAUAUUAAAUGGACCGCCAGCUUCUGAAUGUUCUAAUUCCGAGCUCCCACUAGCAACACAGACUCUGAUAGCUGCAUUAGAAAAUAUUCUUCUCAAGAAUACAGAGUUCGCAAAUUGUUCCAUAACCAAGCCUAUCAAUUUGGUUCAGUCUCAACAAGAAAUUGACAACAGCCCCCUUACUACAAAAUACUCCUCCAAAUCUUGUCAUAUGACAGAUCACAACACACAGGCUAGCUGGAAUCCAUUGAUGGGCCAGCAGCAUAAAAAGCACAAGAAAAAAAGGAAGUCCACUAAGAAACCCAUGGCAAAACGGCGCAGAUUCGCAGAUAUAGAAAAGUUGUACAAAGACGAACAAAAGUUUAUAACAUUGCCGGUGCAGAAAGGAGCGAUGCGAAGAUGAUGGGUAUCAAAGAACAUGCAUAGCUACAUGUGGAUCAAUUUUUAUGAACACAAACACUGGGGGUGGUUCAAGAAAAAAAUAACUUUAAAGAACAAGCUGCGUUAACGCAGCACGACACCAGAUAAUUGAUAAAGAAAAUACACGAGAAAUUACAUAUGCUCCAAUACUACAUAAACAUCAAUGGUAAAUUUUGCUAUUGAGAAGACUAAUAUAUCGAUGGAAAUAUGAUGAAUAAUGUUUCUUAUGGAAAGAAUAUAUUAUUUUAUUAUAUGGAAAGAAAUAUAAAUAAUGAACUUUGUAGUUAGACACUAAGAAAUAAUGAAACUGCUGUUUGUCACAAUUACACAAUUAAUAGAUAUACAAAAUGCAUAAUUCAGAAAUUAUUAAAAUCAUACAAUGUAAAUUACAGAAAAGUAGUAGUUAUUGUUUAAAUAUUAUUUCUGUUACAUAAAGCAUGUUCAUCAGGUGUGUUUGAAGCCUUCAUAGUUUAUUUAAAAUUUAUUAUUCAUAAAAUCAUUUAUAGAAUAAAAUGUACGUACAUAUGUAUAAAUGUACGCCUAAUAGAACGCACGAUUUCUAAUUUUGAGUAGGUAACGCAAAUAUUUUUACGUACAUUUUUUUUAAAUUAAUAGCGAUCAAUUAACAGAGUCUUAGAUUAUUUUCAUAUUGUUAAAGAAUUUGUAUACAAAGCUGUAAUCGUUAAUGAAUUGAUGUGCAAUAAAUAUAUUCGUGUGAUCAUUAGUAUAAAAGUAUAUAGAGGGAAUUCAAUACGUGGCUUCUUAAGGCAAAUUCACGAACAAGUAAUUAAUUUCGUAAAAUAUGAGAAAAAUUUAAUAAAUCAACUCUAGUGAACUUAUAAAUCUGUUCGAAAAUGUGAUUGAACAGGAUGUUUUGAAUAUAUUAAAAUAUAACGAAGUAUACAAAUUAUAUUAACAAAUUUAUGUUUUAAAUAAUUUGUAAGUACCAAAUUUGAACAAUGACAUAGAGUAGACCAUAUGUAAAUGGGGCAUUUAAAAGAGCGUUUGUUAAAGUUUUUAUGUGUUAGUUUAUUUUACAAAACAAUAUAAUUUUUAUUAUAAUCUACGUUACAAGAUAUGAAAUAGGUGAUAAUACUCUAUUUAUAAUAUAUUAAACACUUGUUUCUUAAAGUAUCAUUGUUUCAUUUAUUUACAAAAUUGUGUAAGGUUUAACACACAUAGUACUUAUUUAUAUUUUACAUUUAGUAAAGUACGUAAUAAGAUUAUUGUUUCAUUUCACAUUACGCAAUAUAUAAAUUUCAAUAAUAAUUUGUAAUUAUAGUGAA